AUUACUAGAAACUCCAUACCGUUAAAUUUUGGUAACUGCCGUUAUUUGAAUGAAACGAACCGUUUCACUUAAGUCCACCUAAGUGGAAUUUUUGUAUCCUACGUGUUCACAUUGGACACGUAGGAUAUAAAACUCACCGUUUUGGACCAUCCAAAACGGUGAGUUUUAUAUAACUAGAUGGCUUCUUUUUUGAAACCCUUCCAUACGGACCAUACGAAACCCACCCGAUAGAACCAGCGGCGAGCCACCGACGCAGCAGACGCCACCGACCCAGACUCCGCCGGCGACAGAACCACCGGAGACGGAACCCACCGGCGACAGAGGCCACCGGCGAAAGUACCCACCGUUUGGACCAUCAAUUCCGGCGUCACUUUUCCGGCUAGGUUUCCGUCGAUUCACAAUAUUUUGAAUCGGAAAAAUCCGAUUUCGACGAAGGUUCAUAUUAUAAGAUGAACAGGAGGAAGAAAGAUUUCGGGAUAGGAUACAAUGAAAGCGAAUUCUACGAUGGGAAGAUGAAAAAGAAUGAGCAGUCAAUGUCGUCGGCAUCUAUGACAUCAUCGGUGAAAGAGGAUAUGGAACCUGUGCAGUGUAGGUGCGGACAUACAAGCCCAAUAAUAACAUCCACUACUAUAAAAAAUCCUGGGAGGCGAUUCUAUGGGUGUGCUAUGUAUGACCGUAAAAAGAAAGCUGGCCAAUGUCCUUUUUUCCAAUGGUAUGACAAAGAA